GGGGGCGUUUUUUGGAUUCGACGGGGGUAGAUCGAGCAUGGGUAGCGGGUAGUGGGGAGCGUCCGCUUUAUCAACGCUAACGCCAAAUUUAAACGGCAAAGCUAAACAACCAACUCUGGCUCUGGCCGCCUAAUAACGGCCUCCAGGCUUCUACCCUGCAUCGCCCAUGUGCCGGGAUAGAAGCUCAACCUAUAGUGGGAUACGCUGUCUAGUCUCCGCCUGCGGCUAGCUGAAGAAGACAAACAGGCUGACCCGAAGAGAAUCCGGUGACGGGGAGUCUCUAGGGUGACAUCAAAACUGUCACUACACCCGUAGAAGCCUAUGUGGCGUUGCCUUCGGACAGGGGUUCGACUCCCCUCGCCUCCAUAA
rfam:Paenibacillus macerans strain 8244 genomic scaffold scaffold1, whole genome shotgun sequence.